AGUGAACGCUGGCGGCGUGCCUAAGACAUGCAAGUCGUACGAGAAAGUACCUUCGGGUACGAGUACAGUGGCGCACGGGUGAGUAACACUUGGGUAACUUACCUUUCAGAGGGGGACAACUAGAGGAAACUCUAGCUAAUACCGCGUACGUCCAUUAGAUCUUCGGAGAAGAUGGAGAAAGCCUUACGGCGCUGAAAGAGAGGCCCGAGUCUGAUUAGCUUGUUGGUGAGGUAAAAGCUCACCAAGGCAACGAUCGGUAGCUGGUCUGAGAGGAUGAUCAGCCACACUGGUACUGGAACACGGACCAGACUCCUACGGGAGGCAGCAGUUAGGAAUUUUGCGCAAUGGGGGAAACCCUGACGCAGCAACGCCGCGUGUGUGAGGAAGGCCUUCGGGUUGUAAAGCACUUUCAGCAGGGAAGAAACAAAUGACGGUACCUGUAGAAGAAGCACCGGCUAACUCCG
rnacentral:rRNA from 1 species